rnacentral:lncRNA from 1 species
AUGUGGAGGCUUAGUCAAGGUCAGUCAUCAAGUGACCCAGAAAAUAAUAUUUGUAACUUCCAAGGUUUCUGUUCAAGAAUGUGCUGUGGGAUCUGUCUGCACCAAGGCUUGUGGUGGCUGCAGCAUGGUGAGUGGCCCAGAGCUGAAUGCUGUGCUGUUAGCAUCGUUGAGAGUCAAGGGAAGUCAAAAUUACCUGUUACUUUUGUAGCAAAACAAUCACAUAAGCAUUUCAAAACUGAAAAGAUGAGAUUUCAACAGAACUUCAUGCUUAUGCCAGGAUGCUUCAGAUUAUGUUGUGAACCAGCCUCCCCUACCCACUUCAGGGGUACUUGGGCUGCAGCAAUGGGACCAAGACUUUAAGGGUGGGCUGUUAACUGACAUCCCGCAAGCAAUGAUUAAAAUAAACGAAAAAUUACAGGGAAUGUAAGAAAGAAGAGGAAAGUCACCCAUCAUCUCUCUACCCAAAUAUAAGCACUGUUCAUACUAUUUCCUUCCUGCCAGAGGCCUUUUGAUGGCCAUGAAAGACUAACAAGGAGGUCACCUGCGAUCGGGACCAUGGGACAGUAUCGUGCAUAACCCACCACCUGGGGUUUUUUACAAAAGCUUCCAAAGGAAGGCUAACCCUCUCAGCCCCUUCCCAAAGGCCCCUCCUAAGAAACAUGAAAUAAAAUAGAAUUCUGCCCCUCUCUGUUUCCUUCUUUGUACCUCCGGUGCAGCCUGGGCUGUCCCCUCCUCCACAGCCUAGGAGCCCCUCUCACUGGGUAGUUGAGCACUCACAAGCCCAGGCUGCUGAAGCAGGAAGUGCUGCGGUGGGGGCUUACAUUGUCUGCCUAGGAGGCAGAGGCAGCCCGUGGAGGUUCCUUGACCCCAGUGGCCCCAGGCUGACCCCCUGCCAGAGGAAAGGAGCCGGACUGCCAAGAAUGCAGUGGAAUCCCGCUGAGGCUGGAGCCUUGGUAGAGAAAAUGUGCGGAAUGCCAUUUGUUAAAACACACUGGCCUUUGCACAGAAAAGCUCUUUGGGCUUCAACAAAGGUAGGGCGUAUUGUUUCAGGACUAAGGGUCUGAUCCAAGUUCACUUCAGUCUGUCUCAAAAGGAGGACGCCAGCUCAUUAAAAACAGGGCAAAGCAGCGGUGCUGCAGAGAUGACUUGAACUUGACAAAGUUCCCACCCUGUCUCGGUUUCGAAUCGGAUGUCAAACCUUAUGUAAAAUAACAGAAACCCUUGGGUGUUUACAAAAUGGGUACUCUAAGUCCACUGCAACGUACAGUGUAAGCAAAGUAUUUAGAAAGUACUAUUAUUUAGAAAAGUAAUAUUUUUAUUUAGAGAUUACUAUUAAUUUUCGUUUACUUCAGGAGAUCCCAUUUUGAUGAUGGGGAUGUAUUGCUUGAGGUAGGCAUAUGGUAAGUAAAAUCAGAAUGGGACUGGGAUAGCCUAACACUUGCCUACUACUACUUUAAAAAAUAUAUAUAUAUAUGAUUUCACUAUGUUGCUCAGGCUGCUUUCAACUCCUGAGCUCAUAAAAUCCUCCCUCCUCGAUCCCUGGAGUAGCUGGGGCUACAGGUGCGUGCCGCCAUGUCCAGUGCUAAAUAUUUCUAAAUAAUCAUUUUUCUUUUCUUAGAUUUUAAAGUAAAGUGUAACCCUGGAGAUUAUCCUGAGAGGUUUGAACCAUUAUUACAGUGAAAUGGCAAAAACAAGGCCAAUAGGAGGAGAAGGGACUAGCCUGUGCCAACAAGAAUUAUAUGGUAAAAAUAAUGCUUUUAAACUUAUUUACAUAUUUACCUAUUUAUUAGAUUCAGAAUCUUGCUCUGUCACACAGGCUGGAGUGCAGUGGUGCAAUCAUAGAUCAGCACAGCCUUGAACUCCUGGGCUUCAGUGAUCCUCCUCCCUGAGCCUCUUGAGUAGCUAGAACUAUAGGCACAUGCCCAUAUGCCUGGCUAAUUUUUAAAUUUUUGGUAGACAUAGGGUCUUGCUAUGUUGCCCAGGCUGGCCUCAAACUCCCGGCAUCAAGUGAUCCUCCUGCCUGGGCCUCCCAAAGCUCUGGGAUUACAGGCAUGAGACACCACUCUCAGCCAAAAAUAAUGUUAAUUAUAAUAGCUGGCUGGGUGUGGU